rnacentral:rRNA from 1 species
UACGGGGGGGGCAAGCGUUGUUCGGAAUUACUGGGCGUAAAGGGCUCGUAGGUGGCCAACUAAGUCAGACGUGAAAUCCCUCAGCUUAACUGGGGAACUGCGUCUGAUACUGGAUGGCUUGAGUUUGGGAGAGGGACGCGGAAUUCCAGGUGUAGCGGUGAAAUGCGUAGAUAUCGUUUGGAACGCCAAUGGUGAAAACAGGUCGCUGGGGAUGAGCUGACGCUGAGACACGAAAGCCAGGGGAGCAAACGGG